CCCUAACCCAGACGAAGCUAGGCCAAUUGUGCGUCGCCCCAUGGACCUCUCGGUCACGGCCGGCUGUGAAAGAGCCUGGGCUCGAACCCAGAGUUUCUGGUGGAACAGCCACAGGUGGCCUUAGACCACUGCACCACCCAGGAGGCCCAUAAAACAUAUUUAUUGGGUAAAAACAACCUUGUGUAGACUGGGAUUUGUUGUUGUUGAUUGAAUAAUGGUCAUAAAUGGGACUCACUAAUGCCUGGAUAUUAGGAUAGAUAUGGAUAUUAGCCUACAGUAUAAUCCACUGGUACUGGUGAGUGAAAUUAUGUCAGUAGGCACUUAUGUCAAGGUUGCUGAGGUGGUAAGUAUUUACUAUAGGCCAGCUGGCAAGACAGGUGUCCGGUUUUAACGUGUCUCUACCUGCACAAUGUUUGACCUGACAUAGACACUGAUAGCAUUGUUAUUACUACAUUAUGAUCCGUUUUUAUCAAUCAAAUGAUAAAUGAAUAACAAUACCAUACUCGUUUGAAAUUCUUCAAUUGGCUCUCAUAAUCUUAAUGAUGUGUUUUUUCUCUCCUCCAAAACAUUCACUGCACAUUAAGAUGCUAUGGUUAAAACGCAUGCAUUUGCUUAGAUGGGGAGCUGCGGUUGUAGUGAAACAUACAUGUCACCAGCAGAGGGCCAAUGAGGAGAGCAGAGUAUAUUCAGAAUCAGACACCGGUGACCUUUCUGUGAGGGGUCAUGCACGUGCAGGCACAGCAGAUCAACGUCCCACCUCUGCUGCCAGUCAUGGCUUCUUACACUCAGCUUGCAGUGCCCCUUGUGGCGGGAGGUCAGGACUACAGUUACCACAACACAGACACGGCCUAUGCUCAGCUUCAGCAUCAGAGUCCUUCAGCCACGUUAGGCGAGAAAAUGGAUGAGGGUCCUGGUUUUGAUUGAGCAAACAUACUCAUGAUUCACACCUGUUUCUGGUGAUUUAAUAUUAAACAUGCUCAUUUAUGUUCACUCCUUUUUACAUAAUUUGUGUAAUCAUACAUGUUUCUGUUGUUAACUGUGAUAUGAGGACUUCAUGCUUUGAUUUCAUUGUAUUCUUCUAGAGGCUGAUCAUUCUUCUGGCCCAGGCAUGGUGAGUCCUUGGGAGUUUUAUUGACUACCGAACAUACAUUACAUGCAAUACACAAACAUACCUCCCAUCGGCCCAUGCAAAUUAGCGUUGAAUUGAACUUAAUCUCUGUAAAGAUUUCUAGUUAUUUACUGAGCACCUGCUGUUUGUGUUAGUGGUGCUAUAUUUUAUGUGUAUACUCAUAGUAAAGUUAAGCUUAUUGUCAAGGUGUACAACAUUUGCAGCUAAGAGCUGAAUUGCAUCUAAAUAAACAAAUAAUUACAUAAUCAAAUCAAUCAUGUGAAAAGAUUCAUCGUCCCAUAUGAAUGUUGGGAAGAUGCCGGUGGCAGGGUAUGGUCAACAGUAUGAUCAGAAGUAUGGUUAUGGAGGUCAGAAGGCAUGCCAGCAGGGAGGGCACCAGGCCACCAUCACGCAGGAGGGAAAGGCCACAGAGACAGACAAAAUCCAACUAAAACAGAGCAACAAGUCAGGGUGGUUUAGCAGCUGGUUCAGACCCGAGUCCAAAGAGCAGCAAAGUGAGACGUCUCACUAUGCGGACUCAGCUGACCCGGUUCCCACUACUUUAAGGGUCAAGCAUGCCUACUUUUAACUCUUACCCAGCCAUUCGUCAGAGGACAUAACAGCAUGCGCUGCAGCACGGAUGUCAAGUCAGUGAUCUCAAGUUUAGGUUUUGUAGUGUACCGUCCAACAAAUCAUGUCGAUGGAUUUAACAACAUUUUGUUAUAUCUUAUAAACUUAGUGAAAUAUAAAAACUUUAAUGAAAAGGAUUCUUAAAGUGAACCACGAAGGCCACCAGUUUUGGAUAUUAUUAUUAGGAUAUUCAGAGUAUUUGACCUUGUACUUCUCAUAAGACCCAGCGGAGGUGUUGACAAUCUUUCAUUUGAAUGUAGACCCAUUAAACUUUUUAACAGAUGUCAAAAACUAGCUCUAAGUAGGGCAUGGUAUUUGCUGUUGGUCAACCAACUCUUCCCAAUUAUUUGUCAACGUUAGUAACACCUUCUGUUAUUGGCAGAAAGCUUAAAUUCUUGUUAAUCUAACUGCACUGUCCAAUUUACAGUAGAUAUUACAGUGAAGGA